rnacentral:rRNA from 1 species
GUGACCUCAAAUCAGGUAGGACUACCCGCUGAACUUAAGCAUAUCAAUAAGCGGAGGAAAGAACUACAGAUUCCCCUAGUAACUGCGAGUGAGCGGAAAGCUCAAAUUAAAU